GCCGGUGUAGCUUAGUUGGUUAGAGCGGUCGGUUCAUACCCGACAGGUCAUUGGUUCGACUCCGAUCACCGGUACCA
rnacentral:tRNA from 3 species